GGGCUGUAUUUCCUCAGGCCACUUUACUGUGGGAUUGACAGUUUUGCCUAAUAUUUAAUGAAAAUUUGCUUUCUUUAUUUUGUCACAUUACACUUGGCUGUGAAGGUUUGUUAACUUAUGUCUUUAAGGAUCACUAAUGCCAGUGUACUGUGAGGAUAAACAUGAGUGGUAGAUGGUGAAGACUGAAAAACUCUUUGUAACAAACCACCCAUGCAUAUAUAUAUUUUAUAUAGAGGCAUACAUAUAUAUACAUGUACACAAUAGUUGCAAAGUUAAUCUUUAACACCUAUUCCACUCCCAGACCAGCUUUGGGAUUAUUUUUGAUCACUGUUUAAGAUCCUUCAGUAUACAAUCUGCAGUGUGACAAUCAUAUAAAACUGUGUCAGAGUCAGGCAGUGACUUUAAUUGUAGCACAAAUGUAAUGUGACACGAACAAUGCACCCUGGUGUUCUGAGGAAUAACACAAUGCGUCACAGUGGCAAUGUGUAAAUUAGGUUUCUCCAAGUAGCAUUGUUAUGGAAAAUAUGGCCUUCAGAUGAAGCUAUUGCACAGCAGCCCAGGAAUUCGAGCUCAGGAGUCUUUCUUCAUAGAGUUCCCACUUUCACUACUGAGAAUAUGCAUCACUUGAAAGGCCACACAGAUGCAACUAUCUAUAGUGACUGCCCCAGCAAGACAUCUGAGAACGGAAGUGCUUUUCCUAAGAAAGCAAGGGUGGAAGUGGGGAAAAUUCAGGGCCUUGAUAUUUAGGAACACUUUUAUAUGAAAUACAACAUACCAUCCUAACAAUUGAUACAAAUCCAGAGAAUCAUGGUAGCUCAACCAGAAAUACCCUGCUAUUUACAAUAUCUAUUGCAAAGUAGUAGUUUCCAGUGAAAACUCCAGUGAUGAAAGUGAAGGGAAGAUCUCACAUCUGUGCCUGGACAUGUCAUGGAACAGCUUGUUCUGGAUGCCAUCUCCAAGCAAUUGGAAGAGAAGAAGGUUAUGAGGAGUAGUCAGCGUGGAUUCACCAAGGGGAAGUCAUGCUCGACCAACCUCGUUGCCUUCUAGGAUGGCAUCACCAGCUGGG
rnacentral:lncRNA from 1 species